AUGUCCCGGCUGGUAAGGGAAAUGAAUGAAAGAAGCUUCUCCAAUAGGAGGCAUGUGUUGAGCAUUUGUUUCAUUCCUUUGGCAGCUGAAGUUCCAGUUCCAUUUCUAGUUCAGGUUAUGGUUCGAGUGGAGAAGCUGAGAGGGUAUACCUUCCCUAAGUUGGUUAGAUCGCCCGAACGAAGGAAGCUGUCUUGUCUCGCAAUGGCAGAAGAAAGAUAUAUCAUUGCCAAUCAGGAGGAAAGGAAGAGUCAUUUACCUCCUUCUCCCUAUCGAUGUUUGACCCGAUUUUGCUCCCCCUCCCCGGGCCUUAGCAGCCCACCCCAUAAACCGCUUCCCUCGACUGCCUUAAGAGAAGAGAAGAGGAGGGGAUUUCGAAGAAUGGAAUGA